rnacentral:rRNA from 1 species
AGAGUUUGAUCCUGGCUCAGAUUGAACGCUGGCGGCAUGCCUUACACAUGCAAGUCGAACGGCAGCACGGGUGCUUGCACCUGGUGGCGAGUGGCGAACGGGUGAGUAAAGUAUCGGAACGUACCUUUCAGUGGGGGAUAACGUAGCGAAAGUUACGCUAAUACCGCAUAUUCUGUGAGCAGGAAAGCAGGGGAUCGUAAGACCUUGCGCUGAUUGAGCGGCCGAUAUCAGAUUAGCUAGUUGGUGAGGUAAAGGCUCACCAAGGCAACGAUCUGUAGCGGGUCUGAGAGGAUGAUCCGCCACACUGGGACUGAGACACGGCCCAGACUCCUACGGGAGGCAGCAGUGGGGAAUUUUGGACAAUGGGGGUAACCCUGAUCCAGCCAUGCCGCGUGAGUGAAGAAGGCCUUCGGGUUGUAAAGCUCUUUCGGCCGGGAAGAAAUCGUGUGGGCUAAUACCCUGCAUGGAUGACGGUACCGGAAUAAGAAGCACCGGUUAAUUAUGUGUUAGUAGUCGCGGUAAUACGUAGGGUGCGAGCGUUAAUCGGAAUUACUGGGCGUAAAGCGUGCGCAGGCGGUUUUGUAAGACAGGCGUGAAAUUUCCGGGCUUAACCUGGGAACUGCGCUUGUGACUGCAAGGCUAGAGUACGGCAGAGGGGGGUGGAAUUCCACGUGUAGCAGUGAAAUGCGUAGAGAUGUGGAGGAACGCUGAUGGUGAAGGCAGCCCCCUGGGCCGAUACUGACGCUCAUGCACGAAAGCGUGGGUAGUAAAUAGGAUUAGAUACCCUGGUAGUCCACGCCCUAAACGAUGUCAACUAGGUGUUGGGUGGGUAAAAUUAUUUAGUACCGUAGCUAACGCGUGAAGUUGACCGCCUGGGGAGUACGGCCGCAAGGUUAAAACUCAAAGGAAUUGACGG